rnacentral:misc_RNA from 1 species
GUAGCCUCCCUCUCACUCGGUACGAACCGCUUCUCCGCUGUAACCUUUCUCGUCCAUCUCUUUGCACUGCGUCUUCUCUUGAAAAAACCAAGCAAAUAUUUCCGUACUUUGCUUUUUACCCAUUUCACUUCUAAACCUUCUCUUUCUGAUUAUUGCAAGUUUCCAAGUUAAGAUCAACAACACUUGCACGCUUAAUUAGAGAUCACAGGGAUCAAGAGGAUGGCUGCAGCAGUGUUGGUGAUGUGGGCUGGUGCAGUGAGGAUGUGAUGGAGAAUGCGAAAGAAAGAGUGAAUCUGGCAGUUGGGAAUGUGGAGGUGAAGACGGAAGAGAUGAAGCAGAGAGCAGCUAGUAGAGGCCAUGCAGGAUGCCAAGGAAAAGGCCGACUCCUGGUCUCACUGGGCUUAUGGAAAGUAGCUCUCAGAGUAAUCAUUCUCUUUUUCAAAUUUGCUACCUCACAUUUUUGUUUUGGGAAAAUUCUUGCUUGCACCAAGGUUUAUGGACUCAGGUUUUGAAUAGGUGUAUUUUAAUUUUUCCUAUAUUUUAUUAUGUGUCUAUAUAACACCUACAACUGGAUCUAUACAUCCAAAUCCAAAUCAAUAUAUUAUAUAUAAAUGCCAAGUCUAGAAAAGCUUGGCCUAUUUUUGUUAUAAGAAAAUAAGUUUGUGUGAAUUUCAAAUUGGCCAGGUGCAGGCAGAAAUUUCCCUCUUUUAGCAAAGAAGGGAAAGGAUGAAUUCAAACUUUUCGGAUGUUGCCUAAGUUGAGAGUUGCAUUUAGCUUUAAGUGUGUGUUUUAUUGUUUCCUUAAAAACAAGGAAAGUGUUGUUAAACACCAAUAAGGGAAAAUGUAAAGAAAAAACAAACCCUAAGUUUUUUCAAUUUAAUUGCAAGACAUUAAGACCAUGAUUGUUGUUCUAACCUGCUUUUUGAAAAAGUAACAAUUUAAAUACUAAAAAAGUAGUUUGAAAAUUUGUUUAGCUGUUUUUGCAGGUUUUAUGAUUAAAAUAUGUUAAAUUUAAUUUAAAAUUAAAUUUUAAUGGUCAUUAAUAUAUUUAAGGCAGUGUUUUUCUCAACAACUCAAACAAUAAUGUCAAACAGACUAUAAUCUUGUGUUAGCAACAUAUACCUUUGUCAAGGAGGGUGUAUGUAGUUUAAACUUUUAGGUUAAAUGUACUAGUCACCUAGUCUUGCUAUAGCAUGUUAUGAUCGGACACUAUUGUAUCUUCAUAUAUGUCAAUUACAAGGGAUGUGGGAUUAAAUUACAUGGGAAGAGGUGGCUAAUAGGCCAUGUGAAUAUAAAAGGAUAAAUUAUUGUCAAGUUAAGAGUUCAAUUGACUUUAAAAAAAAAAAAAAAGUUAAAGAGAUCAAUUUUACUGUGAUGGAUAUUUAUGCAUAUUUGUUAGAAUCGGAUGGAAUGUAAUUUUAAUGGAACAAUUCAUUGCACUUCAUUAUAGAUUACCAAACUUGCACUUGCAUCAUGUUUUGUGCUUGAACAGUUGAACCACUUAAUUGUACUGCUUAGAAUUCUAGUUCCUCACUACCCUUCUUUUAUUUUAUUUUAUUCAUAUGCAUGCAUGCUCAACUUAUCUUAUGAGGGUUCAAAAGAUCAUAACAUUUGAAUUUUAAGGAAGCAUUCAUAAUUUUUAAGUUUCAAUUAAUAAUGUUAAUGGUGCUAAUGACAGGGGGCUUGGUUUGAAAGAAGGGUAUGCAAGAGAAGCAGCUCAAAAUUUAAUGGACAGAGCUGGGGAUGCUGCCUCAAAGUCAUCAGAUACAAUGAAUAAUGCUGCAUCUGGUAAUUAUUUAUUCGACACGCAUCCUUUUCCAGCCCAGAGUUAGUUCUUUGGAGCAAGAAUUUUGUUUUCCUCUACCGGUAUUGUUUUAGUUCUUCCAGAAGAUUCAAGGUAUGCUUCUGAAAACACUGGUGAGGCAGCCAACAAGGCUAAUGAAAAAAUAGGAGAUGUAAAGGGCUUUACUUCAGAGAAGGCAGAUCAGGUUAUAAGAAUGGUUUCAGAUGGAGCUAGUGAUGCCAGAGAAACAAUGGUGGGAACAAUGAACUAUAAAAAAGAUAAAGCGGCCAAUGUCUAUAGUGAUGCCUAUAACAUGGCUAGUGAUGCCAAAGAUUCCAUGGCAGAAGGAAUGCAUUAUGGAAGAAAGCAGACUUUGGUAAUUCUUAUGAUGAAGCCAAACAAAAAUUAGAUAUGGCUGCAAAUUAAAUAUGACCUCAGAGAAGGGAGGUGAUGCCAAUGAGGCAAUGACAGAAGCAAUCGAGAAUGGUAAAAAGAAAGCUGCUCAUGUUCAUGAUGAAGCUAAUCAGCAAUUUAAUUUGGCUUCAGACAUGGCCUCAGACAAGGCCAGUAAGGCUAAAGAAGCAAUGGAAGAGUCCAACUUUUCAGGUUAUGAAAGAUGGGACGAGAUGGAUGUGUAUGAUGAAGCUAUAGGACAGCCGAGGAAACAAUUACUUUUCAGGGAAAGUCCAACUAUGAAGCUGCCAAGGAGAGGAUGUCGAAGGCCACUGGUGAUGUUGGAGCAAAGAUGCGAGAAUAUACUGCAGAUCAUCGAGUGGAACUACCACUUUCUACAUGCUAUCUUAAUCUGUGAGUCAUCGAAAUCAGUCUUUUCUUCAUUAAUUCUGAUAACAUGUUCGCUGAAAAAAAAUAAUAAAAAUCGUAUGCGAUUACCUUUAUCUGGUGAAAAUGAGGUUCAAAUUCAAGAUGGAUUUUUGGUUCUCGCUCUAUUUUUUUUUUUCCCCCUCCUUAGGGAUAUGAAAGUAAAUCUAUGUAAAUUUUAAUGCACAUUGGAGUUCAGGCGUUGAACAUAUAAUCGAAC